GAUAAGCCUGGGAAACUGGGUCUAAUACCGGAUAUGACCAAUCCUUGCAUGAGGGUUGGUGGAAAGUUUUUCGAUCGGGGAUGGGCUCGCGGCCUAUCAGCUUGUUGGUGGGGUAAUGGCCUACCAAGGCGACGACGGGUAGCCGGCCUGAGAGGGCGACCGGCCACACUGGGACUGAGACACGGCCCAGACUCCUACGGGAGGCAGCAGUGGGGAAUAUUGCACAAUGGGGGAAACCCUGAUGCAGCGACGCAGCGUGCGGGAUGACGGCCUUCGGGUUGUAAACCGCUUUCAGCAGGGAAGAAGCGAAAGUGACGGUACCUGCAGAAGAAGUACCGGCUAACUACGUGCCAGCAGCCGCGGUAAUACGUAGGGUACGAGCGUUGUCCGGAAUUAUUGGGCGUAAAGAGCUCGUAGGUGGUUGGUCACGUCUGCUGUGGAAACGCAACGCUUAACGUUGCGCGUGCAGUGGGUACGGGCUGACUAGAGUGCAGUAGGGGAGUCUGGAUUCCUGGUGUAGCGGUGAAAU
rnacentral:rRNA from 1 species